GGACUACCAGCAGGAUUCAGGCCAGAGACUUAAAACAUUUGCGUCUGUUGAUCAGUUGCAAGGACUGACAUUUAAAUGCUUGUUGCCCAAUUAGCCUAAUAGGGACAAAGUGGGGCUGGGGCUGAUUAAAAUGAACAAUAAACAAUGCAUCUUUUAUUUUGUAUUAGUUGAACUGUUUUCAUUUAUCUCUAGAGAUUUUUCCCCCUUUUCUUAAACCCCCCCCCCUCUUUAAUUUGUCCAUGAAGUUCUGCAUUUAAUCAUUAGUUGAGCAACCAAUAAUCUUCCUCCAUUCCCUCCACCUUCUUUUACGACCAACUUUAAUCUUUGGACUCAGGGAAAAACAUGCUUCCCCUAUCAUAACUAGUUUAACAAAAAAAAAAUCCCUUUCAAGUUUAGAUUACUCAGAUACAAUGGCUUUCCUGCAGCUUCAUGUUAGAGAAAGGAAUUUAUGUUAGAGGGAAAAAAUGAAAAGGAGAGGGAGGGAGGGAGAAAGGGAGGGGAGAAGGAGAAAGAGAUUUAUGAUAGUGUUGUAUUCCAUUUGAAUAUGGAGAGUUAAUAACAUGCAUAUGUUUUUUUAUUAUUAUUUUAAGAUUUAAGCUAUGCCAUAGGCAAAAGGAAACCUGGAAAUGGUGGGACUGGCAAGACUCAAUGAAGAACUUAAUCUGGAUUUCAUUCACAAACAGCAGCUCCCAUACAGGGAAAGAAUUGGAGUGUUUCGCCAAAUCGGAACUGGAUCCACAUGAAAACAUAAGAAGAAUCACAGUUUCUGGGUUGCUGUGAGUUCCAGAAGCAUUCUCUCCUGACAUUUUGCCCGCAUCUAUGGCAGGCAUUCCCAGAGGUUGUGAGGUCUGUUGGAAACUAGGUAAGAGGGGUUUAUAUAUCUGUGUAAUGUCCAGGGUGGGAGAAAGAACUCUUGCCUGCCUGGGGCAAGUGUGAAUGUUUGCAAUUGGCCACCUUCAUUAGCAUUGAAUGGCCUUUCAGUUUCAAAGCCUGAUUGCUUCCUGCCUGGGGGAAUCCUUUGUUGAGAGGUUUCUCUUUUCCUUUUCCAGAAACAGAGAAUGUGCCUUGCCCGAGAUGGCCCAGUGGAUUUCUAUGGCUGAAGUAAAAGUUAAAGGUUUUCCCCUGAUGUUAAGUCCAGUCGUGACCGACUCUGGGGGUUGGUGCUCAUCUCCAUUUCUAAGCCGAAGAGCCAGUGUUGUCCGUAGACACCUCCAAAGUCAUGUGGCCGGCAUGACUGCAUGGAGCGCCAUUAUGGCUGAAUGGGAAUUCAAACUCUGGUCUCCAGCAUUUUAUAGUCCCAUGCUUAACCGUUACAUUCUCUUUGUUCUCUUUUGUGACAAUUAUACAACCUGAAUGUAUGGAAAACAAACACUUCUACUGAGAGACAGCAUGCUGCAACGGUUUAAGCAUUGGACUAGGACUCCGAGAGUCCAGGGUUCAAUUUACUGUCCAGCCAUGGAAAGUCACAGCCUUAUUGGAGUGAGGCUUCAACAAAGCUAAACACUGUGUAUUGUUAUUCAUGACUCUUAGAUAGCAUGUUGCUUUUGUUAAUGAAACUUCAAUAUAUUUUGUCUUGUUGUAGUCCUUCCUUUUGUCCUACUUCCUACACCUGACAAACAAGCCCAUAUAAAAUGUAAACAAAUAGAAUAAUUCUGUUUCUAAAGAGGUUACCAUGUCAGGUUGUUGCAGCCAAAACAAUAUGAAGUUCUGUUGUAGCUUUAAAACAAAAGCAUCUGCUAAAAUGAGCAUUUGUGGACUAUGAACAUUACUUUCUUUCCAUAUAUGGCACAAUACAUAUGGAAUGAAGAUUCUGUGGUCACUGAAUGGUUUCUGCAUUUAAUUUCUGUGUGACCGUAACUGUCUGCAAAGCCAGCUUCAAUAAUCUAUAUAGUAUAUAUGCCUGAAAUCUUGGGUAACACUCCAUGCAUCUGACAAAGUGGGCUAUAGUUGACAGAAUGUUGUUUAAGUAAUUUAAAAUACCACAGGACAAUUUUAGAUACAGUAGAGUCUCACUUAUCCAACACUCGCUUAUCCAACGUUCUGGAUUAUCCAACGCAUUUUUGUAGUCAAUGUUUUCAAUAUAUCGUGCUAUUUUGGUGCUAAAUUCGUAAAUACAUUAAUUACUACAUAGCAUUACUGCAUACUGAACUACCUUUUCUGUCAAAUUUGUUCUAUAACAUGAUGUUUUGGUGCUUAAUUUGUAAAAUCAUAACUUAAUUUGAUGUUUAAUAGGCUUUUCCUUAAGGCCUCCUUAUUAUCCAACAUAUUCGCUUAUCCAACAUUCUACCGGCCUGUUUAUGUUGGAUAAGUGAGACUCUACUGUACUAUUAUACUAAAAGAUUCUGUUUUAUUUUAUAGAAAGACUAGUUGUGCCCAGCCACACAUUGCUGUGGCUUAUGGGAAUGCAUUGUUGGCCAGGUGGAAUAGCAGUGAAUAGCCUUGCAGCCUCAAAGCCUGGCUGUUUUCUUCUUAUGGGAAUCCUUGUUUGGUGAGCUGGAAUACAAAGGAAUCUAUAGAUUGUCUGAUAGCUUGUCCAUAUUCAUCAACUAAUCUUUGGUGAUUUUUCCAGGACUAAAAUUGAGAUUUUUUGUUUGUUUGUUUGCUGUGUCACUCCUUUAAAUAAAUUAUGAUUCACUA